AGCACCAGGCCUCCGGGGUGAAGUUAGCGGGGUAACUCCAGCGCCUCCCCUAAGCCUCAGCCUCCAUCUCUGGCCAGCUGUGGCUCAGGAUUUUCUGGCAAAGGAAGUCACCAUCAUCUGAUGCCUGCAGCUCAGCUAUUUCCUGGGACCCCAGAUGCGGAAACGGAGGCAUAGUUGGGAAUUUGGGAAUUUAACCUGAGCAGUCUGUCUCCAGCCUUCUUAAUUACCUACCUUUAAAGAAAUUAAAAGACGCUUGAUCCUUGGAAGAAAAGUUAUGACCAACCUAGACAUCUUAGUAAAAAGCAGAGACAUUAGUUUGCCGACAAAAGUCCGUCUUCUCAAAGCUAUGGUUUUUCCAGUCAUGUAUGGAUAUGGGAGUUGGACUAUAAAGAAAGCUAAGCGCCGAAGAAUUGAUGCUUUUGAACUGUGGUGUUGGAGAAGACUCUGGAGAGUCCCUUGGACUGCAAGGAGAUCCAACCAGUCCAUCCUAAAGGAGAUCGGUCCUGAGUGUUCAUUUGAAGCACUUGAAGAACGAAUUCAUAGGGCCUGGACUCCAUCUCACGCCUGUCUGUGCUGAUCAUGUGCGGCCACCGCUCCAGUGGACUCUGAACUCUGUGCUUAGCGCCUGUGGGAAUGACAAUGGAAGGAUAAGACCCCCCCCCCUCUGGGCAGGGGAAUCUUGAAGAAGAGAAAACAGACACUAAUCACCCCUGCCUCCGGACACUAUCUAUCAGAAUGUAAGCACAGGCUUAUCGGUUAUUAACUAUUUGGAAUGUAACUGCGGGCUUAUUGAUUAUUGACUGAACACAAAACACAUGAAUGAUGGGGUUAUUGUAGUUGUAUUUACCCUUCCUUUAUUUAUGUAAGUCUUAAAGGAAUUGGGGUAGUGGGUUUGGACGCGUACACAUGGGGUAUAAAAGAUUUUCACAAAUGCUGGUCGGGGUCCUUGGCUAAGAGCAGACUCUGCCUUGGGCCCGCCGGUGUAAUAAACUGCACUCCACUAUCUGCA